AACGAGCGCAACCCUUAUCCUUUGUUGCCAGCGGUUAGGCCGGGAACUCAAAGGAGACUGCCAGUGAUAAACUGGAGGAAGGUGGGGAUGACGUCAAGUCAUCAUGGCCCUUACGAGUAGGGCUACACACGUGCUACAAUGGCAUAUACAAAGAGAAGCGACCUCGCGAGAGCAAGCGGACCUCAUAAAGUAUGUCGUAGUCCGGAUUGGAGUCUGCAACUCGACUCCAUGAAGUCGGAAUCGCUAGUAAUCGUGGAUCAGAAUGCCACGGUGAAUACGUUCCCGGGCCUUGUACACACCGCCCGUCACACCAUGGGAGUGGGUUGCAAAAGAAGUAGGUAGCUUAACCUUCGGGAGGGCGCUUACCACUUUGUGAUUCAUGACUGGGGUGAAGUCGUAACAAGGUAACCGUAGGGGAACCUGCGGUUGGAUCACCUCCUUA
rnacentral:rRNA from 1 species